rnacentral:lncRNA from 1 species
AAGAAUUCUGGUCUGGUCGAAUACUUGAUCGUAUCUAACUCGUGAAGCAAUGACGAGCAUAUUAGCUGUCUUUAAGAAUUCGUACUCUUCUUCUUUGGGAGGUAAAGAGUUCUGGUUUCUUGACGUCCUCUCGAUAAACAUAUCGAGACCUUGAGAAUCUGGUGUACUUAGUUUCUGUACACAUUCCAAGCUUGUUCGAGGUAUUGUGUUUCAGCCUUUUUAGGAUUCUUCCUCGCUUUUGAUCUCCUAUUGAUUGAGGAUUCAUGCUCGAUGUGUGAUAGGGUCUUUUUCUUCGCCUUGUUCUA